UAUUCUUUUUUAUUGUGGAUAUUGUAGAAUGAGAUACGCCAAACUCCUUUGCGAUGGUUGCAUUUGAUUCACCGGCUUCCAAUCGGUGUAAUAUUGCACUUUUUUCUUCAAUUGUAAAACACUUUCGCUUCACUGAACUCAUUUUGUCGAGCUUUAUGAACUUAUCAUAACAGGUGACAAACACUAACUGUGAUUUACGUGCGCCAAUAAGGAGAGAUGAAACGCGCGGGGCGGGGGUGCGAGUACGUAGGUAAAUAAAACAUUGCUCGAGUGUCGUUUUAACCAGACGUAUUAUCAUAAAUAAUGGUCGCUAUAAGCAGUUGGUCGCUUAAACCGGAGUCGCACUAAACGGUUAUAUUCUCUUAGUACCUAUCUACGAAACCUAAGGGCUAAAACGCACUAGCGGCCUGCCGCGAUGCGGUAUGCCGAUGCGGCAGGCCGCAGCAUAUACGGUCAGCCGUAACGGCACGCCGUAUUCCGGCUAACCGUAUGGUCUUGGCUCACUGCGGUCUGCCGCAAUCGUCAGUGCUUCUAGAAAUUUUGCACAUGAUGGACGUUGAGGAAGUUGCGGCAGUCAUUUAUUUAUAUCAUCGUAGAAAAUAUCGUCAAAAAAAUAAACAUAGAUUUUGGAUACAUCCUCUAUUGGUGACACGACAUGACGGCAAAGAGUUUAAUAUUUUUAUUUCAAACCUAAAGAAAUUUGAAGAUAAGUUCUUUGGAUACACUAGGAUGUCAGUAAAAUCGUAUGAAGAAUUAUUAACAAAACUAUAUUUAAAUAUUCGUGGCCAGGAUACACGAUUUCGGAUAUCUAUAUCCCCGGAAGAAAAGCUCAUUAUAACCAUCAGAUAUUUGGCAACCGGAUGUACAUUCGCUGAACUACAUUACACAUUUCGAAUUGGUGCGAGUACAAUAGCUGAAUUUGUUCGUGAAGUAUGUUCGGCAAUAUGGUUACUGUUAAAAGAAUCUUGUUUACCGAAGCCAUCUCAACAAAGAUGGCUAGAUAUUGCAAAGGGUUUCUCUACAAGAGCUAAUUUUCCGAAUUGCAUUGGGGCUAUAGAUGGGAAACACAUACGGGUAAUAAAGCCGUGCCAUAGUGGAUCCAUGUACUACAAUUAUAAGCAGUUCUUUUCCAUUAUACUUAUGGCUAUAUGCGACAGUAACUACAAAUUCAUAACAAUAGAUGUCGGUGCUUGUGGCAAAUUUGGAGACUCAGCAGUUUAUCAACACUAACUUUUACAAAAAAAUGAUAGCAGGAGAACUUGAGAUACCAGAAUCAGUACCCAUAUCACAAGUAAAUACUAUUCCAAUGCCAUAUGUUUUAGUAGGCGAUGAAGCCUUUCCCUUAUCCACCAACUUAAUGCGACCUUAUGCAAAACCAAAAAAUUCUAAUUUAAACACUACUAAGAGAAUAUAUAAUUAUCGGCAUAGUAGAGCACGGCGAUAUGUCGAAUGUUCGUUUGGAAUACUGAGCAAUAAGUGGCGUAUAUUCCAUAGACCUUUAAAUGUGGAUAUUAGUUUGGCUACUGAUAUCAUCAAAGCAUGUUGCAUUUUGCAUAACUACGUUCGAGACAGAGACGGUUAUAACUAUGAAGAUACUUUAACAUGUUACAUGUCGCCUGAUGUACCAGAAACUCCGAGAACAUAUAAUCGAAUAGGUAAUAAUAUCGCUGAAAGAAUUCGUGACUCUUUCGCUCAGUAUUUUGAACAUGAAGGUAAAUUGGAAUGGCAAGAAAAAUAUAUAUAAGUAAAUAUAAUGGCAUUAAUCCGCAAAAUCGCAGGAAAUUGCGAAUAAAAAGUAGGUAUGAUGAUUGUAACAUUGUAACCAUGAUUAAUAAAUAACGUAACUUACCGAGUUCUUUCUUUUCUUCCGAUGUAUCAUCUUCCUUUGCAUAUAUAUUAAUCAUUUCCUCCCAACAUUUUAACUUUUUAUUUCUGUCUGCAUAAUCAGCGCAUUUGCUAUCCCAUAUUGCGGGGCGUUCUUUUAUUUCUAAAAUGAACUUUUCUGUAUCAAAAUCCAUGACGCGCACGAGUAGCGUCUAGCGCGUGAAACAAGCGACGACGGACUGGCGGGCGGGACGCGGCGUUUGCGACUACCGCGCCGAGUGCGUGGUGGGGAUGCGGUGCGCCGCAUCAUUCAACCGGCGCGGCUCGUCGCAGCUCCGGAACAACCGGAGCGGUUGACGGCUGGCCGCAAAUCAGUGCGUCGUUAUCGUGCGGUUUCAUGUACUAAUCGAUGUGCGGCCUACCGCAACGGCACGCCGCAUGGCGGCCAACCGCUAGUGCGUUAUAGGCCUAACUUGAGUGAACAUUAUCGUCGCUAAAACCGAUUAGUUGUUAUAAGCGAAGUCGUUAUAUAUGAAUUCUACUGUAAUAAUAUAUUUUUAAGGACAAAUAAAAAAAACCAUCUUGCCCCGUAUGUGGGGUACGCUAUCUUCUUGUCCUGAAGUUGACGCUCUGGUCUUCUUUUGUAGUUUAUCACUUUUACCGUCGUCGUUUAGUUUAUCACCGUCCUGCUGGAAAUAAA